rnacentral:lncRNA from 1 species
CGCUAAGUUAUAGUCAAUUAGCUUGACUGUCUCGAACUUCUCACGUCAUAUCAAUAAGUGUCGUGCCUUCCUUGCUGUCCUUGACACUCAGAAAUUUGAUCACUUCGGCUUUCAUCAACGGCUCCACCUUCAACUCUGCAUUUUCAUCCGUUACAUAUCUCUGAGAGUCAUCUAUUCUCGGGUUGUGUAUCCAAUCCUUGCGGUUUCCUUCUACCAGAUCAACU